rnacentral:rRNA from 1 species
UACGGAGGGGGCAAGCGUUAUUCGGAAUCAUUGGGCGUAAAGGGCGCGUAGGCGGCUUCAUAAGUCUUGGGUGAAAGCCCUCGGCUCAACCGAGGAAUUGCCUUGGAUACUGUGAAGCUCGAGGCUGGAAGAGGGCAGUGGAAUUCCCGGUGUAGCGGUGAAAUGCGUAGAUAUCGGGAGGAAUACCCAUGGCGAAGGCAGUUCACUGGGCAUUAUCUGACGCUGAGGCGCGAAAGCGUGGGGAGCGAACAGG